rnacentral:rRNA from 1 species
UACGGAGGAGGCAAGCGUUAUCCGGAAUUAUUGGGCGUAAAGCGUCCGUAGGUGGUUGGCCAAGUCUGCUGUCAAAGGGUGGGGCUUAACCUCAUAAAGGCAGUGGAAACUGGCGAGCUAGAGUGCGGGAGGGGUAGGGGGAAUUCCCAGUGUAGCGAUGAAAUGCGUAGAGAUUGGGAAGAACAUCGGUGGCGAAAGCGCCCUGCUGGGCCUGCACUGACACUGAGUGACCAAAGCUAGGGGAGCGAAAGGG